UUUGCUAGCUCACGUUAGGUCGUGCAGUGAACCGUCCGCUAGCUAAACUUAAAUGAGGGUUGGGGGUUGUGACGUUAGGAGGGAAACGGAGCCCUCGACACAGGCCAUCGAAUAACGACUGGAAAUAUCUCGAUUAAAGAGACGGAAACGAGGAACGUAGUCCUUUCAAAAACGAAAGUGUUGAACUUUUAGGAAGUGUGAGGAAGUUAGACAGGUUUAAGCGAACAGACCUGUUGAAUCACUUCCCGUCUCUCCUCGGCAGCGUUGACUUUAGGUAGUUAGCGUUAGUUAACGCGCGUCGGAACCGUUAUUGGGGUUGUCUCCUCUUCGAGCUAAACAAAAACCAACAAUGUAACGUUUAUCUCAUCUAAUUCUAAAAGAGGAGAUUGACCAUCUGGUGACCUGGAGCGGUCUGAACAACUUGGAGCUCAACGCUCUAAAGACAGUGGAGAUGGUUGUGGAUUGUCACAAGAACACAACUCCACCUAACCCCAUCACCCUGUGCGACUCCGUCUUCGACCAAGACCUCAGGCCACAAAAACUGUUUAUUUCCAGCUGCAGUCGGGUUCAUCAACAAAGCUCAGGACCCCCACUUACUCAGACACUUACAUCCCCCGGACAAUUUCUUACAGUUACACACCCACGCGCAUCAUUUCUUGUACACAUGACAAAGAAUAUACUUGUUUUUACGUAUUGGUAUUUGUUUGUUUACCAUAUUGUGUUGUACAUUUGUAUAUUUUACAUUUUCAAAUUAUGUCUCAUUCAUGUUUUUUUUGUUAUGCACAGAGUCCUUGUAUAUGUAAUGUACUUGGCAAUACAGUUCUAAUUUUGUA